rnacentral:rRNA from 1 species
UGGGGAAUUUUGCACAAUGGGGGAAACCCUGAUGCAGCGACGCCGCGUGAUUUAGAAGGCCUUCGGGUUGUAAAAAUCUUUUCUAUGGGAAGAAAAUGACAGUACCAUAGGAAUAAGGACCGGCUAAUUACGUGCCAGCAGCCGCGGUAAUACGUAAGGUCCGAGCGUUGUCCGGAAUCAUUGGGCGUAAAGGGUACGUAGGCGGGUAAGCAAGUUAGAAGUGAAAUCCUAUAGCUCAACUAUAGUAAGCUUUUAAAACUGCUCAUCUUGAGUUAUGGAAGGGAACGUGGAAUUCCUAGUGUAGCGGAGAAAUGCGCAGAUAUUAGGAGGAAUACCGGUGGCGAAGGCGACUUUCUGGCCAUAACCUGACACUGAGGUACGAAAGCGUGGGUAGCAAACAGG